rnacentral:rRNA from 1 species
UCCGUAGGUGAACCUGCGGAAGGAUCAUUACCACGAGAGAGGGGAGGUCACGGCAGUGUCUCUCCCUACUCCCUCAACACUCUGUGAACGUGGCAUGUUAGUCUGGAGUGACGUCAUAUGGUGUACCAGCCGUAUGACGCCACCCCCGAGGUUGUGCUGCAGUAAGCUGUGGUACAAUCGCGGUCAACCACAACAUCCCAACACCAUGUAACCGGAGACGAACUAACCAAAAAGAAGGAGCCCGUGGCUGUGUUUAUACAGAGCACAGCGCAACGAGAACCAACGAUAGACAACUUUCAACGAUGGAUGUCUAGGCUCCCACGACGAUGAGGAACGCAGCGAAAUGCGAUACGUCAUGCGAAUUGCAGAACUCAGUGAAUCAUCAAAUCUUCGAACGCACGUUGCACCUCCGGGAAGCCGGGGGUAUGCUUGUUUCAGUGUCCGCCUCACCUCUCUGCCAGUACACACAUAAGUGUGUGUGUAUCAAGGCAAGGACAUUGAGUAUACACGGUGUCGUGUAUGUGGUAGGAAUACACAUUUACACGACACUGCGUGACUUGGAGAAGAGGAAGGAAGCACGUAUCUGUAGCGGAGUACGUAUGGCAGCCACAGGUUGUAGCAUGCGAAGCAUCGGAAGACGUGGUGUGGUGACCCACCGCCAAGUCGACUGGUGCGCGUAGUAUGUGUAGAAGCGACAUAUGGCGUAGCAUAGUGUGCAAGCAAGGAUAGGUGUGUAGUACCCUGAGCAGUGUACGACCCACAAGUGGAAGUACACGCUGACCGAACACAUGUAGAGUGUGGCUCUUACAGCUCGGACCUGAAAUCAAGCAAGAGGACCCGCUGGAUUUAAGCAUAUAACUAAGCGGAGGAAAAGAAACUAACAAGGAUUCCCCUAGUAACGGCGAGUGAAGCGGGACGAGCUCAAUCUCUGAAUCGGCGUGUGCGUCCAAGCACAGGCUGAGUUGUAGUGUAUGGAGGCGUUGCCAUGGCUCCAGCAGGACGAAGUCGCCAGGGACGGCGCGUCAGGGAGGGUGACAACCCCGUGAAUGUCUUGCACAUGGAAGUCAGUACGGUGCGUCUUCUCCGAGUCGAGUUGCUUGGGAAUGCAGCUCUAAGUGGGUGGUAAAUUCCAUCUAAAGCUAAAUAACAGUGGGAGACCGAUAGCGAACAAGUACCGUGAGGGAAAGAUGAGAAGAACUUUGAAAAGACAGUCAAACAGUACCUGAAAUCGUUGAAAGGGAAACGCUUGAAGU